UACGUAGGGCGCAAGCGUUGUUCGGAUUCAUUGGGCGUAAAGGGUGCGUAGGUGGCGCCGUAAGUCGGGUGUGAAAUUUCGGAGCUUAACUCCGAAACUGCAUUCGAUACUGCGGUGCUUGAGGACUGGAGAGGAGACUGGAAUUCAUGGUGUAGCAGUGAAAUGCGUAGAGAUCAUGAGGAAGACCAGUGGCGAAGGCGGGUCUCUGGACAGUUCCUGACACUGAGGCACGAAGGCCAGGGGAGCAAACGGG
rnacentral:rRNA from 1 species